AUUGAACGCUGGCGGCGUGCUUAACACAUGCAAGUCGUGCGGUAACAGGCGUAGCAAUACGUGCUGACGAGCGGCGAACGGGUGCGUAAUACAUGGGAAUCUGCCUUUUAGUGGGGAAUAACCCGGCGAAAGCCGGGCUAAUGCCGCAUAAGAUCUUCGGAUGAAAGCGGGGGAUCGUAAGACCUCGCGCUGAUAGAUGAGCCCAUGCCGGAUUAGCUAGNGGUGAGGUAACGGCUCACCAAGGCGACGAUCCGUAGCUGGUCUGAGAGGACGGCCAGCCACACUGGGACUGAGACACGGCCCAGACUCCUACGGGAGGCAGCAGUGGGGAAUAUUGGACAAUGGGGAAACCCUGAUCCAGCGACGCCGCGUGUGUGAAGAAGGCCUGCGGGUUGUAAAGCAC
rnacentral:rRNA from 1 species